rfam:Cavia porcellus supercont2_138 genomic scaffold, whole genome shotgun sequence.
GGGGAUUUAGCUUAGUGGCAUAAUUGCCUGCCUUGCAAGCAGGAAGUCGUGAGUUCAAUCCCUG